ACACACAAAAAGUGAUAGAGCUCC
rnacentral:siRNA from 1 species